rnacentral:lncRNA from 1 species
AAAAUCUCACUGCCAUAUCUGGACGAACGCCGGUGUCGUUAUCUUGACCGGUUGCUGUCGGCCGCAUCACUCUCGCCUACCGAAGACAACGACAGCAGGUCUCCUAUUAAGGUCGUGGUUAAAGUUGAAGAAUUCGGUACCAGAUUUCUUAAAGGAUGGCUUCUAUGGAAUUUCAGCCGCACCAAAUUUCUCCAUCUGGCAGGUUGUGACCUAAGCAGUUAUAAAGCUUGCAGGUAUAAUCUUCAAGAACUCACCCUCAAAUGCCUCCGGGUCAGUGAAGACAGUUUUCUGAGCUGUUUGGCUAAUGCUCCUUGUCUUGAGAAAUUGAGUUUGACAUGUAUUUCCGGGAUACGCAUUCUAAAUUCCCCAGCUUGAAAUCUCUUUUCUUUGAUGCUGAAUUCACUGUCUUUGGUGAUUUGCAGCAACUUCAACUCAGCUCAGCCCCUCACCUCCAGACUAUAAUCUUCUUGGGCGAGUGUAAGUUCCUGAAAGUAGUUUCAGCUCCUAAUCUGGUAACUGUAUCCAUCAGAACCGAUGGUCUCCCGGUCAACUUUAACAUUGUCAACAAUGUGCCUUCUAGCUGCCAAUGUGUAGUUGAGUGUUGCCCUGCUGACGACGAGAUAACGUCAAGUUGGUUUAUUGAGUUGAGGAAGUGUCUCGCAGCAUUAAUUACUCUAUUUGAUCACUAAAUAUUUCCAUUUAUUUUGACAAUUUUUUUGUAGGCGUUAAAGAUGGAUUUGAGUCAAGUUGGAUGUGGAUCAUCUCCUCUACUCGUCCAAUAUGUACAAUUGGAAACUAAUUUA